rnacentral:rRNA from 1 species
GACGAACGCUGGCGGCGUGCCUAAUACAUGCAAGUAGAACGCUGAAGGAGGAGCUUGCUUCUCUGGAUGAGUUGCGAACGGGUGAGUAACGCGUAGGUAACCUGCCUGGUAGCGGGGGAUAACUAUUGGAAACGAUAGCUAAUACCGCAUAAUAGUAGAUGCUGCAUGACAUUUGCUUAAAAGGUGCAAUUGCAUCACUACCAGAUGGACCUGCGUUGUAUUAGCUAGUUGGUGGGGUAACGGCUCACCAAGGCGACGAUACAUAGCCGACCUGAGAGGGUGAUCGGCCAAACUGGGACUGGGACACGGCCCAGACUCCUACGGGAGGCAGCAGUAGGGAAUCUUCGGCAAUGGACGGAAGUCUGACCGAGCAACGCCGCGUGAGUGAAGAAGGUUUUCGGAUCGUAAAGCUCUGUUGUAAGAGAAGAACGAGUGUGAGAGUGGAAAGUUCACACUGUGACGGUAUCUUACCAGAAAGGGACGGCUAACUACGUG